CACGUAGGGCGCAAGCGUUGUCCGGAAUUAUUGGGCGUAAAGAGCUCGUAGGCGGUUUGUCGCGUCUGCUGUGAAAUUUCGGGGCUCAACCCCGAACUUGCAGUGGGUACGGGCAGACUAGAGUGUGGUAGGGGAGACUGGAAUUCCUGGUGUAGCGGUGAAAUGCGCAGAUAUCAGGAGGAACACCGGUGGCGAAGGCGGUUCUCUGGGCAUUACCUGACGCUGAGGAGCGAAAGUGUGGGGAGCGAACAGG
rnacentral:rRNA from 1 species